rnacentral:rRNA from 1 species
CAGGCUUAACACAUGCAAAGUCGAACGAGCUGGGGCCUUCGGGUCCCCGAUGCUAGUGGCGCACGGGUGAGUAACACGUGGGAAUAUGCCCUUUAGUACGGAAUAACCAAGGGAAACUUUGGCUAAUACCGUAUACGCCCUUCGGGGGAAAGAUUUAUCGCUAAAGGAUUUAGCCCGCGUCUGAUUAGGUAGUUGGUAAGGUAAUGGCUCACCAAGCCGACGAUCAGUAGCUGGUCUGAGAGGAUGGAUCCAGCCACACUGGGACUGAGACACGGCCCCAGACUCC